rnacentral:rRNA from 1 species
UACGUAGGGUGCGAGCGUUAAUCGGAAUUACUGGGCGUAAAGCGUGCGUAGGCGGUUUUGUAAGCCAGAUGUGAAAUCCCCGGGCUCAACCUGGGAAUGGCAUUUGGGACUGCAAGGCUCGAGUGCGGCAGAGGAGACUGGAAUUCCUGGUGUAGCAGUGAAAUGCGUAGAUAUCAGGAGGAAUACCGAUGGCGAAGGCAGGUCUCUGGGCUGACACCGGCGCUCAUGCACGAAAGCGUGGGGAGCAAACAGG